rnacentral:rRNA from 1 species
CAAUAGCGUAUAUUAAAGUUGUUGCAGUUAAAAAGCUCGUAGUUGGAUUUGUGGCGUACGGUGGGUUCCGGGCACUUGUUGUCUGAGUAACUUGCUGUUGCCAUCCUUGGGUGGAACCUGUGUGGCAUUAGGUUGUCGUGCAGGGGAUGCCCAUCAUUUACUGUGAAAAAAUUAGAGUGUUCAAAGCAGGCUUAUGCCGUUGAAUAUAUUAGCAUGGAAUAAUGAGAUAGGACUUUUUUGCUAUUUUGUUGGUUUGCGCAAAGAGGUAAUGAUUAAUAGGGACAGUUGGGGGUAGUCGUAUUCCAUUGUCAGAGGUGAAAUUCUUGGAUUUUUGGAAGACGAACUACUGCGAAAGCAUUUACCAAGGAUGUUUUCAUUAA